AUCUGUAAUAGACCACUUUCUUCUAUUUUAGCUAGGAAAUCCACCUGAUAAAAUCACUACUGAUAUUAGCAGAGGGAAUUCCAUUGGGUUGGGAAGGGUUAGGAUUAAUCAUGUUAUUGUGUUAUACAUGGUUACAGCUAGUGGUAAGACUAGGGUAGGUAAAUGGUCAGAGUUAGUGUGAGCAUAAGGUUAGGUGUGGGCUUGGUAUAGGGUUAGUGUUAACUACCAAAAGUUAAUUUAGAUCUUAGACACAUAUGAGGCAUUUAACAAUCAGGACUGAUUCAUGAAUCUGUUUUGAAUUAUUUUUCUUUAGUUGUACUGGAUGUGUAAAAAAUAUUAAAAGCAAAAAUGUGAAUUUAUUUUUUUUCCAAAACCCCUUCCCCCAUUUUAAACAUUUUAUUUACAUGUAAUAUUGAGUUAGUUAUACAUAUAGGAUAUAAAAAAGCACUUUCUGUCCUUUAAAGAACAAUUUAUAAUAUGUAUCUGAACAAAUACAUAGCUGAAAUUUUAGGUUUUGGUUUGAAACAAUUGCCUCUGUCCUUAUCAUUAUAAUCCAUCAAAAUAGUAGAUAAACGUCUGCAGUGAAACUGUAUCCUAUUCUCAUUUAGUAAACGAAACCCCAACUGCAUUUUAAACAUCAACUAGUCAUUCCCAUUAAUUACACACAUCAGUCAGAUUUUACUCCUGAGGAAGAACAUCCAGAACUUUGUUAACACAUAACCAAUCCUAGAAAUGAGUGGAUUAGCUGGAACAUGUUUAAAAAUGUUUUCAGUCCAAAAUACUUAUACUCUGAACAAUACAUGCAACACAGGGUUGCAUAGAAUGAUAUACAUUGUUAAUAGAAUCAACAGUUCUUUCCAAUUAAUGUACUUUAUCCGGUAUUACAUAAUACAUAUAAAACAUAUACAAGUUAACUUACAAUUUAAAUGGUAUGAAAAGGCUCUUUUAGCAUUUUUAAGGGGGGGGGGAGGGGGGAGGUCUGGAGGUAGGGUUGCCACCUGGCUGGUAUUUUAGGUAAUGUAACUGUUUGGCCAUUGCGGUUAUUUUCAAAUACCAGCAAUACAAACACUGGUAUUUUUUACUGGAUGGACUCUGUCAACUUGGUGUUCUAUAUGAGACCUCAAUUUCGUAUUUUUGGAUAAGCUAUUCAAAUGAUAACAAUUUUAGAAUGCACUUCUUCUGUGAUGCAGACAACUUGUCACUUGGCCCAUUGAGUGAGCACUCAGGAGGGCAGGCUCCUCAGUCCAGUGUCCCCAAACUGUAGUACAACCUUCUAUAUUAAAAGAUGAACACAUUUUAAGUAGUUUUUGUUUUUUAUUAUUAUACUUAUUUAGGGAUUUUCCCUUUCUAAAUGCAUUUUAUUUUUCUCUUAUGUUACUCCCUGUGAAGUCAUACAUAUAAAAUGUAUUAUGCAAAUUAGCAUGGCUAGUAUGUUUCCAUGAAAGGUGGUUGGAACCUAAGCUGUGGUGGGGAGGGUGGGGGGUAGGAAUGUAUAUCCAAAAAGGGGCAUUUAUAAGCAAGAUGAACAUAAAGGCUUAGACAGUGUACACGAUUCAAAACAGAAACAGCUAGCAAAAGCUCACAAUUCCUAUUAUUUCCAUUAUAUGCUUGAUGGAAACUGCAUUGAGUAGAGAUACGAAACAAAAAAGGGAUGGGAGAAUGUUGGUGAAAAUGGAUUUUAUUUUAAAAAUGUGUCUAGAACGUCUAUUCUGUUAUCAGUUUGGCUAUGUUUGCCUUAAAUUUGAAACUCACUUUGAAUUUCCAUCUAUUCUAAUUUUAGUGAAUAUUCCUUUAUGCAUUUUUUUGUUUUUUGUACAGCAAAUGUUAUUGGAUGUCUUAAAUAUUAUCUUUCAAUAGGAUUUUUCUCAGUUCUUACUUCUACUAUAUAUGUAUCAGAAUUAAAUGAUUAAAAUAGAGUUCUGGAAUGUCUUGAUAAAAAAGUGCUUUAUCUUUGUAAAACACAAAUAUAUAAAUUUUACUGCUUUUUGGGGCAUACUUGUUGAAUUAUGGGGUUGAUGGCUGAGUUGAUUCCAAUUUGUUUUAAAUGUUCUAUGUGGCCAAAUAAAGCAGUAUGUUUUAAUGAGACAAGUGAGGUUUAUACUUAUGGUGUAUGCAGGGCCGGCGCCACCUGUAAGGCGACCUAGGCAGCCGCCUAGGGCGCAACUUAGCAGGGGGCGCCGUAUCCCUGCGCCCGGCGGCUCCUCAUGCUGCACCGCCUGAGCGCUUUAGCAAGCCCCAGGCGGCGCGGCAUUGCUGUGUGGAGGGCGGCCAGGUUUGUGACCGGCAGGAGGGAGGCGCAGAGCGCUCCC